rnacentral:piRNA from 1 species
UGGUGGUUUUACUUUGAGUAGCUGUGUAAG